GUGCUCGUUUUGGCAGCGCACACACUAAAAUUACAGCGAUACAGAGAACAUUAGCGGCAUGGCCCCUGCUCAAGGAUGACACGCAAAUUCGUGAAGCAUUCCAUAUUUAA
rnacentral:snRNA from 1 species